UGAGGAAUUUUGCGCAAUGGGGGAAACCCUGACGCAGCGACGCCGCGUGGAGGAUGAAGGCCUUCGGGUCGUAAACUCCUGUCAGAGGUGAAGAACACCCGCAAGGGUUUGACGGUAACCUCAGAGGAAGCCCCGGCUAACUACGUGCCAGCAGCCGCGGUAAUACGUAGGGGGCAAACGUUGCUCGGAAUUACUGGGCGUAAAGGGUGAGUAGGCGGCUGGGCAAGUCAAGGAUGAAAUCCCGUGGCUUAACUGCGGAACUGUCCUUGAAACUGCCUAGCUUGAGGAUAGUUGAAGAGAAGGGAAUUCCCGGUGGAGCGGUGAAAUGCGUAGAUAUCGGGAGGAACACCUGAGGCGAAGGCGCUUCUCUAAGCUACUCCUGACGCUGAAUCACGAAAGCUAGGGGAGCAAACGGG
rnacentral:rRNA from 1 species